CGUGUGUGCGUGUGUGUUAUAUCCAAAUACUAAGCUAUUUUGUAUUUUAGCAUCUGCAGUUUUGGAUAUCCUCAGAGGGUCCUGGCAUCCAGCUCCAUAAAUUCUGAAGGAUGAGCAACUGUAUGUGAGUGUGUGUAUACAACACAUGUAUAUAUGUUAUUAAACAUCAUCACACAUUCAAGCAAAUAUGAGCCCUGGCCGGGCAACCAGACAGUGGAACCACUGAACUAAAUCCCCGGCUCGCCCAAAUGCAAUCUGCUCCCUUGAGUCACCCUUCAGCUUCAAACAUCUUCAUGUAUUUCUUCUCCUGGAGAGACACCCUGGAAGCUCCCAUCUGAUUCAGACAAUGGUCAGUUAUGGAGAAACUACUGGCUGUAAUACGUACUCCAAUACGGACCUGUUCUUCUUGAGUCUGGGCCAUUCUGGCUUCUCCUGAGCCAUCCCUUCCAUCACACUGCAAGAAAGUUGUUGACACCGGAGAGAAAGAAGAAUACUACACAGGGCGAUGUUUGGCACAGCAAUCAUCCCAAAAUAAAACACAAUUUCAUCACCCA
rnacentral:lncRNA from 1 species